AUUGAACGCUGGCGGCAGGCUUAACACAUGCAAGUCGAGCGGGGAAAGGUAGCUUGCUACCUGACCUAGCGGCGGACGGGUGAGUAAUGCUUAGGAAUCUGCCUAUUAGUGGGGGACAACAUUCCGAAAGGAAUGCUAAUACCGCAUACGUCCUACGGGGGAAAGCAGGGGAUCUUCGGACCUUGCGCUAAUAGAUGAGCCUAAGUCAGAUUAGCGAGUUGGUGGGGGAAAGGCCUACCAAGGCGACGAUCUGUAGCGGGUCUGAGAGGUUGAUCCGCAACACUGGGACUGAGACACGGCCCAGACUCCUACGGGAGGCAGCAGUGGGGAAUAUUGGACAAUGGGCGAAAGCCUGAUCCAGCCAUGCCGCGUGUGUGAAGAAGGCCUUUUGGUUGUAAAGCACUUUAAGCGAGGAGGAGGCUACCGAGAUUAAUACUCUUGGAUAGUGGACGUUACUCGCAGAAUAAGCACCGGCUAACUCUGUGCCAGCCGCCGCGGUAAUAC
rnacentral:rRNA from 1 species